UCCACACUGCCAAGAAAAGCUUCUAGUGAGAAAGUAACUGCCCGUACCGCAAACCGACACAGGUAGUUGAGGAGAGAAUCCUAAGGUGUGCGAGAGAACUCUCGUUAAGGAACUCGGCAAAAUGACCCCGUAACUUCGGGAGAAGGGGUGCUGACCGCAAGGUCAGCCGCAGUGAAUAGGCCCAAGCGACUGUUUAUCAAAAACACAGGUCUCUGCAAAAUCGAAAGAUGACGUAUAGGGGCUGACGCCUGCCCGGUGCUGGAAGGUUAAGAGGAGAGGUUAGCGCAAGCGAAGCUUUGAAUUGAAGCCCCAGUAAACGGCGGCCGUAACGAUAACGGUCCUAAGGUAGCGAAAUUCCUUGUCGGGUAAGUUCCGACCCGCACGAAAGGCGUAACGAUUUGGGCACUGUCUCAACGAGAGACUCGGUGAAAUUAUAGUACCAGUGAAGAUGCUGGUUACCCGCGACAGGACGGAAAGACCCCAUGGAGCUUUACUGCAGUUUGAUAUUGCGUGUUUGUAUCACAUGUACAGGAUAGGUAGGAGCCGAAGAUACCGGGACGCCAGUCUCGGAGGAGGCAACGGUGGGAUACUACCCUUGUGAUAUGACCACUCUAACCCGCUGCUCUUAGCGAGCAGGGAGACAGUGUCAGACGGGCAGUUUGACUGGGGCGGUCGCCUCCAAAAAUGUAACGGAGGCGCCCAAAGGUCCCCUCAGAAUGGUUGGAAAUCAUUCGUAGAGUGUAAAGGCAGAAGGGAGCUUGACUGCGAGACCUACAAGUCGAGCAGGGACGAAAGUCGGGCUUAGUGAUCCGGUGGUUCCGCAUGGAAGGGCCAUCGCUCAACGGAUAAAAGCUACCCUGGGGAUAACAGGCUUAUCUCCCCCAAGAGUUCACAUCGACGGGGAGGUUUGGCACCUCGAUGUCGGCUCAUCGCAUCCUGGGGCUGUAGUCGGUCCCAAGGGUUGGGCUGUUCGCCCAUUAAAGCGGUACGCGAGCUGGGUUCAGAACGUCGUGAGACAGUUCGGUCCCUAUCCGUCGCGGGCGUUGGAAAUUUGAGAGGAGCUGUCCUUAGUACGAGAGGACCGGGAUGGACACACCGCUGGUGUACCAGUUGUUCUGCCAAGAGCAUCGCUGGGUAGCUAUGUGUGGACGGGAUAAACGCUGAAAGCAUCUAAGCGUGAAGCCCCCCUCAAGAUGAGAUUUCCCAUCACUUUAAGUGAGUAAGACCCCUGAGAGAUGAUCAGGUAGAUAGGUUGGGAGUGGAAGUACAGCGAUGUAUGGAGCGGACCAAUACUAAUCGGUCGAGGACUUAACCAA
rnacentral:rRNA from 1 species